GACGAACGCUGGCGGCGUGCUUAACACAUGCAAGUCGAACGGAAAGGCCCUGCUUUUGUGGGGUGCUCGAGUGGCGAACGGGUGAGUAACACGUGAGUAACCUGCCCUUGACUUUGGGAUAACUUCAGGAAACUGGGGCUAAUACCGGAUAGGAGCUCCUGCUGCAUGGUGGGGGUUGGAAAGUUUCGGCGGUUGGGGAUGGACUCGCGGCUUAUCAGCUUGUUGGUGGGGUAGUGGCUUACCAAGGCUUUGACGGGUAGCCGGCCUGAGAGGGUCACCGGCCACAUUGGGACUGAGAUACGGCCCAGACUCCUACGGGAGGCAGCGGUGGGGAAUAUUGCACAAUGGGCGGAAGCCUGAUGCAGCAACGCCGCGUGCGGGAUGACGGCCUUCGGGUUGUAAACCGCUUUCGCCUGUGACGAAGCGUGAGUGACGGUAAUGGGUAAAGAAGCACCGGCUAACUACGUG
rnacentral:rRNA from 1 species